GAAUAUUGGACAAUGGGCGAAAGCCUGAUCCAGCCAUGCCGCGUGUGUGAAGAGGGUCUUCGGAUUGUAAAGCACUUUAAGUUGGGAGGAAGGGCAGUAAGCGAAUACCUUGCUGUUUUUACGUUACCGCCCGAAUACGCACCGGCUAACUCUGUGCCAGCCGCCGCGGUCAUACAGAGGGGGCAAGCGUUAAGCGGAAUUACCGGGCGUAAAGCGCGCGUAGGUGGUUCGUGAAGUUGGAUGUGAAAUCCCCGGGCUCAACCUGGGAACUGCAUCCAAAACUGGCGAGCUAGAGUAGGGCAGAGGGUGGUGGAAUUUCCUGUGUAGCGGUGAAAUGCGUAGAUAUAGGAAGGAACACCAGUGGCGAAGGCGACCACCUGGGCUCAUACUGACACUGAGGUGCGAAAGCGUGGGGAGCAAACAG
rnacentral:rRNA from 1 species